GUACCUAUAGUUGAAUGCAACGUUGGUUUUUCAUAUCAGAGGUUUAGGUUAAAGUCCAAAUAGGUAUU
rnacentral:tRNA from 1 species